rnacentral:rRNA from 1 species
AAUUUUGGACAAUGGGGGAAACCCUGAUCCAGCCAUCCCGCGUGUAUGAUGAAGGCCUUCGGGUUGUAAACUUCUUUUGUCAGGGAAGAUAAUGACGGUACCUGACGAAUAAGCCACGGCUAACUACGUGCCAGCAGCCGCGGUAAUACGUAGGUGGCGAGCGUUGUCCGGAUUUACUGGGUGUAAAGGGCGUGUAGGCGGGACUGCAAGUCAGAUGUGAAAUGCCGAGGCUUAACCUCGGAGCUGCAUUUGAAACUGUAGUUCUUGAGUAUCGGAGAGGCAGGCGGAAUUCCUAGUGUAGCGGUGAAAUGCGUAGAUAUUAGGAGGAACACCAGUGGCGAAGGCGGCCUGCUGGACGACAACUGACGCUGAGGCGCGAAAGCGUGGGGAGCAAACAGG